rnacentral:rRNA from 1 species
UACAGAGGUCCCAAGCGUUGUUCGGAUUCACUGGGCGUAAAGGGUGCGUAGGUGGCGGGGUAAGUUUGAUGUGAAAUCUCCGAGCUCAACUCGGAAAUGGCAUUGAAUACUACUCUGCUCGAGGUUUGGAGGGGGGACUGGAAUUCUCGGUGUAGCAGUGAAAUGCGUAGAUAUCGAGAGGAACACCAGUGGCGAAGGCGAGUCCCUGGACAACACCUGACACUGAGGCACGAAAGCUAGGGGAGCAAACAGG